rnacentral:rRNA from 1 species
AGUGAACGCUGGCGGUAGGCCUAACACAUGCAAGUCGAACGGCAGCACAGAGGAGCUUGCUCCUUGGUGGCGAGUUGGCGGACGGGUGAGGAAUUACAUCGGAAUCUACUCUGUCGUGGGGAUAACGUAGGGAACUUACGCUAAUACCGCAUACGACCUACGGGUGAAAGCAGGGAUCUUCGGACCUCACGCUAUCAGAUGAGCCUAGGUCGGAUUAGCUAGUUGGU